AUUUUUUUUCCCUCUUAAUUCGAGUUUAGUAAUCUGAAAUGGGCGCGCCUAACAGCAGAGUGAGAGAUCUAAAUUGAGACAGGACUUGGAGGCUCCACCCCUCCCAUCCCCAUUACAAUGGCGCUUCUCGCUGCUGUGGCAAACAUCGCAAAUCCAGGGGGUGAGAAAGCAGUUGCUAAACGCAGGCGGCCCCACCUGGCCCGGCGUCCCAGCUGGCCGCGGAGAACAGAGCGCGCCCACUUCCCCGGCCCACCGGGUUCCUCAGGCUGUUUACACUAGCGCUCUACCAACGAUGCCCAGGGAAAAUGUUAUGAUUUAUCACCUUAAAAAAAAAAAGAAGA
rnacentral:lncRNA from 1 species